UACGUAGGGUACAAGCGUUAUCCGGAAUUAUUGGGCGUAAAGAGCUCGUAGGCGGUUUGUCGCGUCUGCUGUGAAAACCCGAGGCUCAACCUCGGGCCUGCAGUGGGUACGGGCAGACUAGAGUGCGGUAGGGGAGAUUGGAAUUCCUGGUGUAGCGGUGGAAUGCGCAGAUAUCAGGAGGAACACCGAUGGCGAAGGCAGAUCUCUGGGCCGUAACUGACGCUGAGGAGCGAAAGCGUGGGGAGCGAACAGG
rnacentral:rRNA from 1 species